AAUGAAACCAAGAGCAUGUCCGGGUGCUGGCAGAGACAGGCACCCGGGGGUCGGGCUGCUUGCUCCCACCACCCUGCCCCAACCUCUUGGCUUCCUCUCUUACUCAGGGCAGGUGAGCCUGGGCCGCUCGUGGCUGCCUCCAGGAAUCCCUCCUAGUCUGCUGCUGCUAACAGCUCAGCAAGCGGAGAACCAGGGCUGCCAGAACUGGGGGCCAGCUGGUGUGAAAACAGACGUUGGGUUCUGGGAGGUUUCCGUGAUUUCCUCCCACAGACACCCUGCCAUCCCCCAGGCGGCUUCUCCUGUGCCCGUGGAUGAUGAGGCCCAAUCUCCAAGCCGAGUCAUGAAGUCCCGUCCCAUCCGAAGAGCCAGCUCCACUUUCUCACGAAGCGUGGUUUCGAGAAAGCGCACACUGAUUACUGGGGCACUCGUGAGCCCUUUGGGGUUAGCACAACUGUGUGGCUGCUGCUUUCUGGCCCAGGGAAAAGAGGGAGGACAGGACACUUCACCCAUGUGAGCUUCAGUGUUUUGUGCUCUGAAAAACAGGAACAGUACCCGCUGCCCUGCCUUGCCCCCAUGUUACUGGGAGAGUAAAAUGGGGAGAUGGAAGGCAAGGUGACACGUGAGCCACCAAGCCCUGUGCACACCGUCUGCUGUUGGCUGAUAAAGGGACUCACUGGGGGAAACCCACACUCUUCUUUUGGGGUUCAGAUUUUGAAUGUGUCUCUGCUGGCAAAUCUGUGUGUAUUACCUUAGGUGAAGCCAGCUGCUAUGACAAAUCAACCGAAAAACGUACAAUGACUCAAAUCAAGUAGAGCGUUUUGUCUUGUUUUGUUUUGCUUCUCACCCAUGUCAGGUCUAAAAUGGGUGUUCCUGGUGGUUUUCCUGCAAGUGCCCAUUCAACAGUCAGGCUCUAUCUUCAGGACCUGUAAUAUGUGGCUUCCAACAUGCUCGUAGGCGUCCGGCCCUGGAAGGCAAAGGGGAAUAAGAAGAGAUCCCUGCCCUUAGCCUCCUUGGCCCAGAGGUGACCCACAUCCCUCAUGCACGUUCCACUGGUGAGC
rnacentral:lncRNA from 12 species